AGGAUCAUUAAUGAAUUGUAAUGGAAGUUGAUGCUGGCAAGCUAAUUCUUUGGCUGUACGUGCUCACUUCUAACAAUCUUUAUCCAAACACCCGUGCACCUUUGUGAAGGGGAAGGAUCUUGCAGGGAUGGGUUUGCCAACUUUUUGGUAACUUAAUUUCUUGUCGGUUUCCUUCCCUCCACAUAUACACAUACUCCUUUGUAAUUUGUUGAACGUGAUUGUGCCAUAAGGCUCAUAAUAUAAUACAACUUUUAACAACGGAUCUCUUGGCUCUCGCAUCGAUGAAGAACGCAGCGAAAUGCGAUAAGUAAUGUGAAUUGCAGAAUUCAGUGAAUCAUCGAAUCUUUGAACGCACCUUGCGCUCCCCGGUAUUCCGAGGAGCACACCUGUUCGAGUGUCGUGAAAUUAUCAGACUGUUGAAGUUUUUUUUACCGUUGGUUUAAAAGUUGCCUCAGUUUGGUGUUGGGCUCUGCCGUGCCUUUGAUUGGGACGGCUGGCCUUAAAAGCAUUAGCUGACUCUUGUGAGUGUGUUGGUUCUACUCAGUGUGAUAAUUACUUCUCCUCGCUGAGGACAUCUUUCGAGAUGGCCAAUUCUCAUUUGGGUUGCUUUCUAAUAUGGUUGAUGGGAUCAUUCGAUCUGUCCCGCUUCAAAUUUUGACCUCGAAUCAGGUGGGACUACCCGCUGAACUUAAGCAUAUCAAUAAGCGGAGGAAAAGAAACUAACAAGGAUUCCCUUAGUAACGGCGAGUGAAGCGGGAAAAGCUCAAAUUUAAAAUCUGGCAGUCUUUGAUUGUCCGAAUUGUAAUCUAGAGAAGCGUUUUCCGUGCUGGACUGUGUACAAGUUUCCUGGAUACGGAACAUCAUAGAGGGUGAGAAUCCCGUCCUUGACACAGACUCCCAGUACAAUGUGAUGCGCCCUCGACGAGUCGAGUUGUUUGGGAUUGCAGCUCAAAAUGGGAGGUAAAUUCCUUCUAAAGCUAAAUAUUGGCGAGAGACCGAUAGCGAACAAGUACCGUGAGGGAAAGAUGAAAAGCACUUUGGAAAGAGAGUUAAACAGUACGUGAAAUUGUUAAAAGGGAAACGCUUGAAGUCAGUUAUAUUUGCUUGGACUCAACCUCACUUCGGUUUGGUGCAUUUCCUCGUAGAUAGGCCAGCGUCCAUGUUGUUCGUCAGAAAAGGAGUGAAGGAAUGUGGCUCCUUCGGGAGUGUUAUAGCUUUUGCUCAUAUGUGGGGAAACAAUAUGGAGUGGUACAGC
rnacentral:rRNA from 1 species